GAUGGCGUUCUUUUCUGAUUACAAUGAUUGAUUUCUUUAUUCAAUUCUGCAGACAAAACAUCUAGCUGAGCUCAGAUUAUACACUCUAAUUCAACACUGAAGUAUAGAUGUAUAAUAUAUGUUGUCUUACAGUGUGCAGACGCAGCUUCUAGUUGAGCUAAACUCCCAUUUCUGGCACUGGAACUAAGUCUUUGUAUAGAUGUAUAAUAUAUGUUGGUUUUGUUUGCAGAGCACUUUUUGGUUUUCGAACCGAAAAAGGGUUGUUGAAGAAAAUUAAAAUGAGCACCAAGUUGAUACAGAUACAAUGUCCUCGGCAAAAGAAUGUCAUGGAUUCUGGAUAUUAUGUCAUCAGAUACAUGAAAGAGAUCAUCGACCAUAAGCAAACUCGAAUAUUUGAAGAUUACUUUCAUGAUUGCAAUGUUCCGAAUUAUGAUCAAGGACAAAUUUAUGAAGUCAGAGCUCAUUGGACGCGUCAUGUUCUUCUCAUGUGAAUGUUGUGAUGUAUUAAUUAUGUUUUUCGACUAGAAUUUCUCUAGAACGUUUUAAUUUUAUUUUAUUGGUUUGAAAUUAAAAGAAGUACUAUAUGACAAGGAUACUUCUUUCUGUUUUGUAGUGUGUUUUUAUUCUACUGUGUAUUUAGGCAUAUAUGAUUUUAAGUUAUGUACGAGACACCGAGACAUUUAUUUGAUAUGAUAGAAAUGAA